UUAGCCUUCCUCCUGGAUGCAUCCUCCUCGUCAUCGGCUUUCUCCUUCCUGUCCCUCCUGUCCUUUUUGUCUUUGCUUUGCCUUUUUGGAAAAUCCUUUCUCUUUGCAUUUCCAAACACCGUUUCUCAUUCACACCGUCAUCGUGACUAUGGGACUGAACGUGUAGACGUCUAAUUAGCAUCACUGUGAAAUUGUCAGUGCGUAUAGCGACUUGGAAACUCCAGAGUGCAUCUCACAGAGCGAGCGGUGGCAGAACGGCAUGAAACAAAUUCCUUGUUCUGUGAUUGUAUCUGUUGUUCUUUCAGGAGGAGCGGCGAUAAAUUCUGGAGCAAAGUCACCGGAAACAACAACAACAACGACGACAACGACAACAACGACCGCAACACCGACAAACUCAAUCUGGCAGCGUUCCUCGGCGUUCCAGGACACCUUGCACACGAUGCAUCAGCGGCGGGCCGACCUUGAGCGCCAGGCAUUAAGGUCAAGUCUUCAGGUUGAUCGCAAGAAUGAUGGUCGGCGAGUAAACGACGCCAUAAAUUAAGUGCGUGUCACUCUGAAACGAGGCUUCGCUCGCUCAAGGUCCGGACUGCUGCACAGCCCAGCAGGCCAUCAAGACACACCGCCAGCCUCUCAAUACGCCGCCGUCUGAUGAAGCGAGACACCAGAUCACACUGGCCUCCUUAUCUGCACUACAAGAAAACACCCCACCACACGGAGCGGCGCAGAAAAAGUAGAAAGGAAAUUAAUACGGGAGAAGUUGGUGGAAACAUAGGAGAGCGGGAGAGAGAGAGCUUCAGGAGGAACGGGCUACGUUGAGCUGCUGUUUAACCACUGCAAUGUUAAAAGGCAGUGGUGCUUAUGUGAAACUGAUGAUGAUGUGGAGGACUGUGGACGUCUUCAUCCAUUGGCUCCUACUAAGAGCCAAUCAGCUGACCUCUACAUGACUGUCAUGCUCAGUGUAGACACACUUUGAGCAUGAUGAUAUCUAGAUAUUUAGAAAUGUGAACUUUUCUGGCUACCAUAGUUUAGAAAUCAUGUACUGUAAACUAUAUCUGCUAAUUAAAGAAAAAUGUAGACAAAUUAAAUAAAACAUUUUUGACAAUGUAGCUAGGAGACGAA